UCAGCUUAUGAACGUACCAUGUGGUGGAGCCAGCUUUAGAGUCCGGGGUUUCUGCCCAGUCCACCCUCCCUUCUUCCUCUCCCAUCCCCAGCUGACUCUACCUGCCUCCUCCUUCCUCUCUCUUCCUUCCACUUCUCACUGCUCUUUCCAUGAAUAUGUCAGCCAAGUGGUCUCUCUGUGGCGUUCAGUCCCGACCACUGCAGACACAGCUUUUGGCAGAGAUGUGAACUCAAAGGAAUAUACCUCUACAGUGCUCUCUUAUCUACAUUUGGAUGGGAGUGGAUGAAAGACAAAUCACUCCUGGUUCUUACCCUCAAGGAUUGCAAUCCCUAAGCGAGACUGAUCUGCUCAUAUCAAGGAGAAUGGGCACUCCUAGUCUUGAUGAAGUCCUACAAAAAUCAGACGACAGACAGGAGAAGCUGGUACCAAGGACUGACAACCUCCAGAAAGGACAGCAAGAUAUCAAGCAUGACUUCUUGGGCCACAUUUCUCCCUGGGACCAUCUUGACAUCUGUUUGAUCCAGUCCUGGUUCUUCAUUCUGCCCAUUUAUUCCAUGAUUCAUUCUGGAGAAAGAGGCAAGUUCUUUGUGAUUCUGCCACCCUGCAAAAUCCUGGAAAAUGUCUGAGACUGGCCAUGCAGGGGAGAGUACAUGCUGUCUUUCAGAUUGAUGUUGACAUUCAUACAACGUAUUUCCUUUUCAAUAUCCACUACUUAGCUACUUUCUAUUAAAAUCAUGAGUUAUGAAAAUAGUUGUGAAGUCAAAAGAAUAGUUCAUGCUUUCUUUGUUUGAUUGUGUGAUUAUUUUUUAUGC
rnacentral:lncRNA from 1 species